rnacentral:rRNA from 1 species
GACGAACGCUGGCGGCGCGCUUAACACAUGCAAGUCGAGCGAAGCGGCGGACGGGUGAGUAACACGUGCGUAACCUGCCUUAGACAUUGGGAUAGCCUCGGGAAACCGGGAUUAAUACCAAAUGGUCUAAGAUGGACUCGCGUCCCAUUAGAUAGUUGGUGAGGUAACGGCCCACCAAGGCGACGAUGGGUAGCCGGCCUGGGAGGGUGAACGGCCACAUUGGAACUGAGAAACGGUCCAAACUCUACGGGAGGCAGCAAUGGGGAAUAUUGCACGAUGGAGGGAACUCUGAUGCAGCGACGCCGCGUAAACGAAGAAGGCUUUAGGGACGUACAGUUCUUUGAUAUGGGAAAGGGUACCAGAAGGAAAAGCCCCGGCUAACUACGUGCCAGCAGCCGCGGUAAUA